rnacentral:rRNA from 1 species
AUGAACGCUAGCUACAGGCUUAACACAUGCAAGUCGAGGGGCAUCAGGAAGAAAGCUUGCUUUCUUUGCUGGCGACCGGCGCACGGGUGAGUAACACGUAUCCAACCUGCCCUUUACUCGGGGAUAGCCUUUCGAAAGAAAGAUUAAUACCCGAUGGCAUAAUGAUUCCGCAUGGUUUCAUUAUUAAAGGAUUCCGGUAAAGGAUGGGGAUGCGUUCCAUUAGGUUGUUGGUGAGGUAACGGCUCACCAAGCCUUCGAUGGAUAGGGGUUCUGAGAGGAAGGUCCCCCACAUUGGAACUGAGACACGGUCCAAACUCCUACGGGAGGCAGCAGUGAGGAAUAUUGGUCAAUGGGCGCUAGCCUGAACCAGCCAAGUAGCGUGAAGGAUGAAGGCUCUAUGGGUCGUAAACUUCUUUUAUAUAAGAAUAAAGUGCAGUAUGUAUACUGUUUUGUAUGUAUUAUAUGAAUAAGGAUCGGCUAACUCCGUGCCAGCAGCCGCGGUAAUACGGAGGAUCCGAGCGUUAUCCGGAUUUAUUGGGUUUAAAGGGAGCGUAGGUGGACUGGUAAGUCAGUUGUGAAAGUUUGCGGCUCAACCGUAAAAUUGCAGUUGAUACUGUCAGUCUUGAGUACAGUAGAGGUGGGCGGAAUUCGUGGUGUAGCGGUGAAAUGCUUAGAUAUCACGAAGAACUCCGAUUGCGAAGGCAGCUCACUGGACUGCAACUGACACUGAUGCUCGAAAGUGUGGGUAUCAAACAGGAUUAGAUACCCUGGUAGUCCACACAGUAAACGAUGAAUACUCGCUGUUUGCGAUAUACAGUAAGCGGCCAAGCGAAAGCAUUAAGUAUUCCACCUGGGGAGUACGCCGGCAACGGUGAAACUCAAAGGAAUUGACGGGGGCCCGCACAAGCGGAGGAACAUGUGAUUUAAUUCGAUGAUACGCGAGGAACCUUACCCGGGCUUAAAUUGCAGUGGAAUGAUGUGGAAACAUGUCAGUGAGCAAUCACCGCUGUGAGGGUGCUGCAUGGUUGUCGUCAGCUCGUGCCGUGAGGUGUCGGCUUAAGUGCCAUAACGAGCGCAACCCUUAUCUUUAGUUACUAACAGGUCAUGCUGAGGACUCUAGAGAGACUGCCGUCGUAAGAUGUGAGGAAGGUGGGGAUGACGUCAAAUCAGCACGGCCCUUACGUCCGGGGCUACACACGUGUUACAAUGGGGGGUACAGAAGGCAGCUAGCGGGUGACCGUAUGCUAAUCCCAAAAUCCUCUCUCAGUUCGGAUCGAAGUCUGCAACCCGACUUCGUGAAGCUGGAUUCGCUAGUAAUCGCGCAUCAGCCACGGCGCGGUGAAUACGUUCCCGGGCCUUGUACACACCGCCCGUCAAGCCAUGGGAGCCGGGGGUACCUGAAGUACGUAACCGCAAGGAUCGUCCUAGGGUAAAACUGGUGACUGGGGCU